UUUGCACACUGUUAGAGCUUGGAGCUGAGGCCAGUUACUGGCCAAUGAACUCACAAGUGUAGGUUGUGUGCUACAUUAAUGGCAGGUUUUUCGCUAACACCACAAGGGCCUUUUGUGGUCCAAUGAGUGGAGUUUGAUAGUAUUCCAUGCAACAGGU